GGCACCUUCCCUUUUAAUCUAAAACCGUUUCCUCUCUAGGCAACACAAGGCUUAUACGAAGGGCUCACCUUGGACACAAGGACAACUUAGUGAGCCACCGUGCCACCCUCCAUAGAAACUUAUAAUAAGGAAACAGCUUAACACGGCUAAAUACAAACAGCCUGCAGCACACACAAAUCACCACAAGGAGGAGACAAGGAAUGAGGAACCACAGGGGCCCGUCGGCACACAGGACCUUCUUUAGACAUGACACCGCUGCCAACAGGGCUCAGCUGGACUCGGUCCACAACACGUGCCCUACAAGUCAUACAGAAGAUUCACUUCAGCGAUGGAAAAUCAGUCAUUACAUUGUAACCCUGUGGCUGAUACACAGCAUCUAUAUCCACAGUAUUGUGGGUGCAGAGUAUUGGCAAAAUAUGUAUUAAUGAGCAGAUUAUGUAUAAUAUAAACACAAUAUGUGGAUCAUAGUAUUUCUAAAGAAUUAAUGGAAGUGCAGAGAAGAACAUAUAUGUAAGGACACUAUUAUGGGAUGGAAUUCUACCACCGGCAUAAAAGAACCUGAGUAUAUGUGUAGUGUUGUUGAAAGACGUAAUAAUGAAAUCAGUAGCUGUAUGUAUGUAUAGGGGCUCAAAUUUAA